AACGAACGCUGGCGGCAGGCUUAACACAUGCAAGUCGAACGCACCUUUCGGGGUGAGUGGCAGACGGGUGAGUAACGCGUGGGAAUCUACCCUUCUCUACGGGAUAGCUCCGGGAAACUGGAAUUAAUACCGUAUACGUCCUGAGGGAGAAAGAUUUAUCGGGGAAGGAUGAGCCCGCGUUGGAUUAGCUAGUUGGUGGGGUAAAGGCCUACCAAGGCGACGAUCCAUAGCUGGUCUAAGAGGAUGAUCAGCCACAUUGGGACUGAGACACGGCCCAAACUCCUACGCGAGGCAGCAGUGGGGAAUAUUGGACAAUGGGCGCAAGCAUGAUCCAGCCAUGCCGCGUGAGUGAUGAAGGCCCUAGGGUUGUAAAGCUCUUUCAGAGGGGACGAUAAUGACGGUACCCACAGAAGAAGCCCCGGCUAACUUCGUG
rnacentral:rRNA from 1 species